rnacentral:rRNA from 1 species
GACGAACGCUGGCGGCGUGCUUAACACAUGCCAGUCGUACGGUAAGGCCCUUUCGGGGGUACACGAGUGGCGAACGGGUGAGUAACACGUGAGUAACCUGCCCACAACUUUGGGAUAACGCUAGGAAACUGGUGCUAAUACUGGAUAUGUGCUCCUGCUGCAUGGUGGGGGUUGGAAAGCUCCGGCGGUUGUGGAUGGACUCGCGGCCUAUCAGCUUGUUGGUGGGGUAGUGGCCUACCAAGGCGGCGACGGGUAGCCGGCCUGAGAGGGUGACCGGCCACAUUGGGACUGAGAUACGGCCCAGACUCCUACGGGAGGCAGCAGUGGGGAAUAUUGCACAAUGGGCGCAAGCCUGAUGCAGCAACGCCGCGUGCGGGAUGAUGGCCUUCGGGUUGUAAACCGCUUUCAGCAGGGACGAAGCUUUUUGUGACGGUACCUGCAGAAGAAGCACCGGCUAACUACGUG